AGCGAACGCUGGCGGCAGGCCUAAAACAUGCAAGUCGAACGGAUCCUUCGGGAUUAGUGGCGGACGGGUGAGUAACACGUGGAACGUGCCUUUUGGUUCGGAACAACUCAGGGAAACUUGAGCUAAUACCGAAUGUGCCCUUCGGGGAAAGAUUAUCGCCAUUAGAGCGGCCCGCGUCUGAUUAGCUUGUUGGUGAGGUAAAGGCUCACCAAGGCGACGAUCAGUAGCUGGUCUGAGAGGAUGAUCAGCCACACUGGGACUGAGACACGGCCCAGACUCCUACGGGAGGCAGCAGUUAGGAAUCUUGCGCAAUGGGGGAAACCCUGACGCAGCCAUGCCGCGUGAAUGAUGAAGGUCUUAGGAUUGUAAAAUUCUUUCAGCGGGGACGAUAAAUGACGGUACCCGCAGAAGAAGCCCCGGCUAAACUUCGUGCCAGCAGCCGCGGUAAU
rnacentral:rRNA from 1 species